rnacentral:rRNA from 1 species
GACGAACGCUGGCGGCGUGCUUAACACAUGCAAGUCGAACGGAAAGGCCCUGCUUGCAGGGUACUCGAGUGGCGAACGGGUGAGUAACACGUGGGUGAUCUGCCCUGCCCUUCGGGAUAAGCCUGGGAAACUGGGUCUAAUACCGGAUAGGAGCCAUUUUUAGUGUGAUGGUUGGAAAGUUUUUUCGGUGUAGGAUGAGCUCGCGGCCUAUCAGCUUGUUGGUGGGGUAAUGGCCUACCAAGGCGGCGACGGGUAGCCGGCCUGAGAGGGUGGACGGCCACAUUGGGACUGAGAUACGGCCCAGACUCCUACGGGAGGCAGCAGUGGGGAAUAUUGCACAAUGGGCGCAAGCCUGAUGCAGCGACGCCGCGUGGGGGAUGACGGCCUUCGGGUUGUAAACUCCUUUCGCUAGGGACGAAGCUUUUGUGACGGUACCUAGAGAAGAAGCACCGGCUAACUACGUG